CGCUCUUACCUGUGGUUUUCCCUGACAGGGCACAAUUCUCUCCCAGGGCCCAAGUCUGUGGGGGUCUCUUCUGCUGCCACAAAGCUGCUCAGCCUGGAGGAGGCACAGGCACAGAGGCGAGGCCACAGCAGCUCUCCCCCUGUGACAGUGAGCAGCCAGGACAUCAAAGUGGAAGAAAGCCCUGCAGCUGGGCAGGGCAAAUUCCACACAGUCAUUGACUUUUCAUCUGACAGGCAAAAUCCACCCAGCAAGAGUGAGGAAUCACCAGCUAGCAGUUGGUGUUGCUGCUUCAGCCUCAGAAAGCCAUCCUCUGGGAGCAAACGCCAACUGCAGCACAAUGCCAGGCAGCCCUCAGAAACAGCAGUGGUAGUCCUGGCAGGUGAAUCGAGCCCUUGCCAAGCCAUAAGAUCCAGGGCAAGUAGCGAGGAUGCUCUGUGUGCUUCCAUCAGUGGAGAGCUCUUAGGAAGCACAAAUUGCUGCAGUUCCAAAAGCAGCCUUCCAUCUGACAUCAUUAAUGGA